GCGAUUAUACCAAUACUAAUGCACCAAAUCACAUCGAACUCUGCAGUUAAGCGUGCUUAAGUGAAAGUAGUAUUAAGAUGGGUAACCCCUUAGAAAAUUCUCAUGUUGCAUCUC